GUGGAUUAGAUACCCUGGUAGUCCACGCUGUAAACGAUGAAUACUAGGUGUGGGAGGACUGACCCCUUCCGUGCCGCAGUUAACACAAUAAGUAUUCCACCUGGGGAGUACGGUCGCAAGACUGAAACUCAAAGGAAUUGACGGGGGCCCGCACAAGCGGUGGAUUAUGUGGUUUAAUUCGACGCAACGCGAAGAACCUUACCAGGGCUUGACAUCCAACUAACGAAGUAGAGAUACAUUAGGUGCCCUUCGGGGAAAGUUGAGACAGGUGGUGCACGGUUGUCGCCAACU
rnacentral:rRNA from 1 species